GACAGAGGUGCCGAGCGUUAGGCGGAAUCACUGGGCUUAAAGCGUGUGUAGGCGGAUCCGUAAGUACCUUGUGAAAUCCCACGGCUCAACCGUGGAACUGCUUGGUAUACUGCGGGUCUUGAGCCACCUAGGGGCGAGCGGAACAAGUGGUGGAGCGGUGAAAUGCGUAGAUAUCACUUGGAACGCCAAUGGUGAAAACAGCUCGCUGGGGGUGUGCUGACGCUGAGGAGCGAAAGCGUGGGGAGCGAACAGG
rnacentral:rRNA from 1 species